rnacentral:rRNA from 1 species
CCCUUAGAUGUUCUGGGCCGCACGCGCGCUACACUGAUGCAUUCAACGAGCCUAUCCUUGACCGACAGGUCCGGGUAAUCUUUGAAUCUGCAUCGUGACGGGGAUAGAUUAUUGCAAUUAUUAAUCUUCAACGAGGAAUGCCUAGUAGGCGCAAGUCAUCAGCUUGCGUCGAUUACGUCCCCGCCCUUUGUACACACCGCCCGUCGCUCCUACCGAUUGGGUGUGCUGGUGAAAUGUUCGGAUCGGCCGUUUGUCGCGGUUUCCGCGUCAUGUGGCUGAGAAGUUCAUUAAACCCUCCCACCUAGAGGAAGGAGAGGUCGUAACA